AAGCACGAAGGGGAGCCUGGGCUCCCCUUCAAGGUAUGUUGCUAUGCUCUUUUUUGUUUUUCGGGAGGCCUGUUGUUGUUUUUGGCGACCUGGCCCUUCACAUCUUUUUUGAGCGAUCCGCAUGCGGGACCAAGAGCAAACGUAUUUUUUUGAGCGCUGAUGACACUUUCAUCGUAGUGAUCCAACCAGUUCGGCAGCUGCCUUGGGGCAGUU
rnacentral:misc_RNA from 4 species